UCAUAAGCUUGCGUUGAUUAAGUCCCUGCCCUUUGUACACACCGCCCGUCGCUACUACCGAUUGGAUGGUUUAGUGAGGCCCUCGGAUCGGCCCCGCCGGGGUCGGCCCACGGCCCUGGCGGAGUGCUGAGAAGACGGUCGAACUUGACUAUCUAGAGGAAGUAAAAGUCGUAACAAGGUUUCCGUAGGUGAACCUGCGGAAGGAUCAUUAACGGAGAACGCGGCGGCGGCGGCGGCGGCGGAGGCGCCCCGUCCUUCCCGUCCGUCCGCUCGCCCGCGAAGCCUUCCCCCGUGCGGUGCGGGCGGGCCGGCGCGGUGCCGGCCCGCUGGCCGCGAGGGACGUGAGAGAGCGGGAGCGCGUGUGUGCGUGUCCGUCCGUGGGGCGAGGACGGGGCCGCGUGAGGAGGAGGCAGGGGGAAGGAAGGGGCCGCGCCCGCCGCCGGGAGGCGCGGUGGAAGCGCGGCGGUGGCGGUGGGCGGGCCUGGCGUCGGUCGGUCGGGCGCCCGCCGGGAGGGGAAGGGAGGGGGUGUCGUCGGCGACGACGGCGUGUCGUGGGGGGGGAGACGGGCCCCGCGCCCGCCUCCCUUUCUCGGACGUCGCCGUCCCGGCCCCCCCCCCACCCCCCCGCCCCCGCCGCCGUUGGGGUGGGCGGUGGGAUGUGCUGUGCUCCCGUCACAGUUUGUGGGCCUGGAAUGGUGGUGAUCGAGAUAGACCCUUCCGCCACCUCAUUACAAAGAAACAAGACACGUGUGGUGUCUUGUUAGACCCACAGGCACAGAAAAGAAAAGGAGAACUACUUAUCCCCUUGUUCCACCGGGACCCACCCGGAUGCCAUGCCCAUGCCGGAGGGUCCAGGCCCCGAGGGACGGGCGUACUCAACUUUGCUGUGAACUCAACGGAUUAGUGGAGUUGUGCCUCUGAGGAUUUGUCCACGGAAACUACUUCAAAUGAUCGAUUUUGUCCGUCUCGUGUACUUUUCCUUGUGACGAGCAAGCAGGUUAAAAAAAAAAGAAAAAGAAACAAAUGAAAAAAGGGGGGAAUCCCUGCGUGGCGCAGCGGUUUGGCGCCUGCCCUUGGCCCAGGGCGCGAUCCUGGAGACCCGGGAUCGAGUCCCACGUCGGGCUCCCGGUGCAUGGAGCCUGCUUCUCUCUCUGCCUAUGUCUCUGCCUCUCUCUCUCCUCUCUCUCUCUCUCUCUCUCUCUCUCUCUCUCUCUCUCCCCCCCCCCCCGACUAUCAUAAAUAAAUAAAUUAAAAAAAAAUGAAAAAAGGUCUAU
rnacentral:lncRNA from 12 species